ensembl:snRNA U2 U2 spliceosomal RNA
AUCCCUUCUUGGCCUUUUGGCUAAGAUCAAGUGUAGUAUCUGUUCUUAUCAGUUUAAUAUCUGAUACAUCCUCUAUCCGAGGGCAAUAGAUUAAAUGGAUUUUUGGAAUUAGAUGGAAUAGGAGCUUGCUCUGUUCACUCCAUGCAUCGUCCUGGUAUUGCAGUAUUUCCAGGAAUAGUGCACCCCCU